rnacentral:rRNA from 1 species
GGAAUAUUGGACAAUGGGCGAAAGCCUGAUCCAGCCAUGCCGCGUGUGUGAAGAAGGUCUUCGGAUUGUAAAGCACUUUAAGUUGGGAGGAAGGGUUGUAGAUUAAUACUCUGCAAUUUUGACGUUACCGACAGAAUAAGCACCGGCUAACUCUGUGCCAGCAGCCGCGGUAAUACAGAGGGUGCAAGCGUUAAUCGGAAUUACUGGGCGUAAAGCGCGCGUAGGUGGUUUGUUAAGUUGGAUGUGAAAUCCCCGGGCUCAACCUGGGAACUGCAUUCAAAACUGACUGACUAGAGUAUGGUAGAGGGUGGUGGAAUUUCCUGUGUAGCGGUGAAAUGCGUAGAUAUAGGAAGGAACACCAGUGGCGAAGGCGACCACCUGGACUAAUACUGACACUGAGGUGCGAAAGCGUGGGGAGCAAACAGGAUUAGAUACCCCAG